ACGGGUAUUCUCAAGGGAAUAGC
rnacentral:miRNA from 10 species